UAUAAAAUGAACCAAAAUAUGGUGGUUCAAAUGGGAUUCCAAAAUGAAAUUAAGGGGAGUAUAAAUAACAUGUAUAUUUAAGACAAAUCAUAUACAACCAUUAUGAAUCAUGUCCUCACACAUUCUAAUGAAGCAACCCAAGAUGAAAUAAAUGUAAUAUCCCAUGAAAAGGAAAAGAAAAUAACAGAAUACGAACACAUGGAAAAAAAUGAAGUGAGCUGAAAAAUUGAACGUUUAGAAUUGCACACUUAGUAACCAUCGAAUAGUUGGGAUUUGAUAUUGCCUAAAGCCAAAGAAGAUUAUAAAAGUGCACUGAAUCAGAUGACCCCUGCAUAAAGGACCCCAUGAAAUACCUAGAUUACCCUU
rnacentral:lncRNA from 1 species